rnacentral:rRNA from 1 species
GACGAACGCUGGCGGCGUGCUUAACACAUGCAAGUCGAACGGUAAGGCCCUUCGGGGUACACGAGUGGCGAACGGGUGAGUAACACGUGGGUGAUCUGCCCUGCACUUCGGGAUAAGCCUGGGAAACUGGGUCUAAUACCGGAUAGGACCACUGCCUGCAUGGGUGGUGGUGGAAAGCUUUUGCGGUGUGGGAUGGGCCCGCGGCCUAUCAGCUUGUUGGUGGGGUGAUGGCCUACCAAGGCGACGACGGGUAGCCGGCCUGAGAGGGUGACCGGCAACACUGGGUCGGGGAGACGGCCCGGACUCCGACGGGAGGCAGCAGUGGGGAAUAGAGCACAAUGGGCGCAAGCCUGCUGCAGCGACGCCGCGUGAGGGAUGAGGGCCUUCGGGUUGUAAACCUCUUUCAGCACCGACGAAGCGCAAGUGACGGUAGGUGCAGAAGAAGGACCGGCCAACUACGUGCCAGCAGCCGCCGUAA